rnacentral:rRNA from 1 species
AGAGUUUGAUCCUGGCUCAGGACGAACGCUGGCGGCGUGCUUAACACAUGCAAGUCGAGCGGAAAGGCCCUUCGGGGUACUCGAGCGGCGAACGGGUGAGUAACACGUGAGUAACCUGCCCCCGACUCUGGGAUAAGCCCGGGAAACUGGGUCUAAUACCGGAUAUGACACCUCCUCGCAUGGGGUGGGUGUGGAAAGUUUUUCGGUUGGGGAUGGACUCGCGGCCUAUCAGCUUGUUAGUGGGGUAAUGGCCUACCAAGGCGACGACGGGUAGCCGGCCUGAGAGGGCGACCGGCCACACUGGGACUGAGACACGGCCCAGACUCCUACGGGAGGCAGCAGUGGGGAAUAUUGCGCAAUGGGCGAAAGCCUGACGCAGCGACGCCGCGUGGGGGAUGACGGCCUUCGGGUUGUAAACCUCUUUCAGCAGGGACGAAGUUGACGUGUACCUGCAGAAGAAGCGCCGGCUAACUACGUGCCAGCAGCCGCGGUAAUACGUAGGGCGCAAGCGUUGUCCGGAAUUAUUGGGCGUAAAGAGCUUGUAGGUGGCUUGUCACGUCGGGUGUGAAAGCUUGGGGCUUAACUCAGGUCUGCAUUCGAUACGGGCUGGCUAGAGGUAGGUAGGGGAGAACGGAAUUCCUGGUGUAGCGGUGAAAUGCGCAGAUAUCAGGAGGAACACCGGUGGCGAAGGCGGUUCUCUGGGCCUUACCUGACGCUGAGGGGCGAAAGCGUGGGGAGCGAACAGGAUUAGAUACCCUGGUAGUCCACGCUGUAAACGUUGGGCGCUAGGUGUGGGGACCUUCCACGGUUUCCGCGCCGUAGCUAACGCAUUAAGCGCCCCGCCUGGGGAGUACGGCCGCAAGGCUAAAGCUCAAAGGAAUUGACGGGGGCCCGCACAAGCGGCGGAGCAUGUUGCUUAAUUCGACGCAACGCGAAGAACCUUACCAAGGCUUGACAUUGCCCGGAAACACUCAGAGAUGGGUGCCUCUUCGGAUCGGGUGACAGGUGGUGCAUGGCUGUCGUCAGCUCGUGUCGUGAGAUGUUGGGUUAAGUCCCGCAACGAGCGCAACCCUUGUUCAAUGUUGCCAGCACGCUCCUUCGGGGGUGGUGGGGACUCAUUGGAGACUGCCGGGGUCAACUCGGAGGAAGGUGGGGAUGACGUCAAGUCAUCAUGCCCCUUAUGUCUUGGGCUGCAAACAUGCUACAAUGGCCGGUACAGAGGGCUGCGAUACCGCAAGGUGGAGCGAAUCCCUAAAAGCCGGUCUCAGUUCGGAUUGGGGUCUGCAACUCGACCCCAUGAAGUCGGAGUCGCUAGUAAUCGCAGAUCAGCAACGCUGCGGUGAAUACGUUCCCGGGCCUUGUACACACCGCCCGUCACGUCACGAAAGUCGGCAACACCCGAAGCCCGUGGCCCAACCAGCUUGCUGGGGGGAGCGGUCGAAGGUGGGGCUGGCGAUUGGGACGAAUUCGAAACAAGGUA